rnacentral:lncRNA from 1 species
UAAAAUUCAUUCCUGACAACAAUGUAGAAUACGUCAGCCUUGAUAACUGAAGCAUUAGUUCUAAGCAAAAACAUCUAAAUGGAACUCAAGGCACAUAUAUUAGUUCAACAAAACACAAGCUUUGCAUCUGUUUGAGCUUGUCUAUUCUCGACAGUAUUCAAAAGAUUUACAACAUCACUAAUGCAACUUGAAAAAGUAACAUAGAUAAGGAAAGAUCAGACAAGUUUUGCUUUUUUGCUGCUGCCAGAGUCAUCGACUUCUGUAGGUUCUUCUUCUAUCUCUCCAGCAUCUCUAAACAUUCUUGUGAGACGUAUUCGUGGUUUUGAAGAAGAUCGUUGUUCCUUUAAAAUGAAAAAGUGAGCAAUGUUAAUAAAUUGAACAAGACGAAUGGAAAGCAAAAUUAUUUAAAAAAAAAAACCUGAAGAACCAGCUUCUGAGUUCUGCUCUUCAGCUUGGAGAAAUUGAUUCUGAACACUGAUGCUGGAAUCUUUGUUGAAAGAAGAUGUAGCUGCAUUUUCUUCAAAGUAAUAAGGAAUUGUGUAACAGUGAUUUCCACUACCAUCCUUAGUAUUUCCUGGUUUCAACUGGGCAAUGAACAGAAUAGACAAGUGGUCCAUUGA